AACUGCGAUCUUUGUUGUUUUUCAACCAUAGUCUUCGGUUGAAUUUCAAGCAUUUCAAGAGUUCUGGUGGUAAACUAAGAAAAUGGUUAAAUUUCAAACGCCAUUUGUUUGAGAAAAAAAGUUGCCAUCUUGUGAUGCGCCGUCCGCUUUUUUGUUUUCUACGGCUGUGAGUCGAGUUAUACGGAGUUUAUCUAGUUAAUUUAAUAGCUUCCGGAGCCGUUUUUGAUAAUUCAACGGAACGAACUGUUCAGGAAAUUUUACACCAUGGACCCCAGCUGCUUUAUCUAGUUUCCAAGGAACACAGAUCCGUUCAGUUCGUGAAUCUGAGCAAAAAAAGCAAUGAUAAGGAGAACACUUAAUCUCAUUCGGCAAGUCUGUCCGAUCCGGAAAGGUGCUAGUAAAAGAACAGCGCUGGAAGAAGGAAAAAAAUGGGAUCAGCUUCGGGUACAAUUACCGGGGAGGUAGCACCAGAGGAUCAUCCGGAAGUGGCCGAAUUAAAAUCUUUUUAAACAUGAUCCACCAAGAAUUCUCACAACGAAUGCAAAACAGAAAUCAAUAUCCAUUAUCAUCAUCCAAAGUGGAAAUACCGGUGGAGACAUGCACAAAAUGGAAAAAUUUGCUUCCCUUUACAACAAAUAUUUUUCAA